rnacentral:rRNA from 1 species
CUUUGUGCCAGCAGCCGCGGUAAUACGUAGGGUGCGAGCGUUGUCCGGAAUUACUGGGCGUAAAGGGCUCGUAGGUGGUUUGUCGCGUCGUCUGUGAAAUUCCGGGGCUUAACUCCGGGCGUGCAGGCGAUACGGGCAUCAACUUGAGUACUGUAGGGGUAACUGGAAUUCCUGGUGUAGCGGUGAAAUGCGCAGAUAUCAGGAGGAACACCGAUGGCGAAGGCACGGUUACUGGGCAGUUACUGACGCUGAGGAGCGAAAGCAUGGGUAGCGAACAGGAUUAGAUACC